AACUGUUCGUGGGAUUUCUCUAAACUCUUUGCAUCUCAUCGCCUCUCACUCUCAUUUUUUUGUAUUUUCUCAGAUCUCAAACUAAAAUCAGUCAAAUGGAAGAUGAUGACAUUGUAAUUGCGGUUUUAUACAAUGGAACAUUGGUACAAAAUGAUAGUGGUGAUUGGGAAUAUCGAAAUGGUAAAAAUGUAAUGGUUUCCGUCGGCAAGAGAUGCACAAAAUCAGAGUUAGAGGACUGUGGCAUAUUUACACUCAAGACCAUCGAAUUCUUACAUGCUAGAUUACCAUUGACAUUCACACAAGAUAACAUGGAGUUCUUUAGGAAGAAGUAUGCAUAUGAGGUUUACAACAAAGAACUUAGCAUAUGAGCUGCGUGGUGAUGCUUUUUUCUUUCCUUUUUUUCAUGUUUAUAGAUGCAUAUUAUUUAUUAUAUUUGACUUUUAAUUGUAAAUAUAAUGGUGGCUUAUAAUGUUCAUUUAACAAAGAUAACAAUGUGGUAUUGAUGUAAUGAUAAGUAAUUGACCU